UACAGAGGUCUCAAGCGUUGUUCGGAUUCAUUGGGCGUAAAGGGUGCGUAGGCGGCGCGGUAAGUCGGGUGUGAAAUCUCGGGGCUUAACUCCGAAACUGCAUUCGAUACUGCCGUGAUUGAGGACUGGAGAGGAGACUGGAAUUUACGGUGUAGAGGUGAAAUUCGUAGAUAUUGGGAAGAACACCAGUGGCGAAGGCGGCUCACUGGUCCGCAACUGACGCUGAGGCGCGAAAGCGUGGGGAGCAAACAGG
rnacentral:rRNA from 1 species